UACGUAGGGGGCAAGCGUUAUCCGGAAUUACUGGGCGUAAAGCGCACGUAGGCGGCUUUGUAAGUCUCACUGUGAAAGUCCGGGGCUCAACCCCGGGAUGCCAGGGGAUACUGCGAGGCUUGAGACAAGUAGAGGUUGGUAGAAUUCCGGGUGUAGCGGUGGAAUGCGUAGAGAUCCGGAGGAAUACCAGAGGCGAAGGCGGCCAACUGGGCUUGUUCUGACGCUGAGGUGCGAAAGCGUGGGGAGCGAACAGG
rnacentral:rRNA from 1 species